AUUGAACGCUAGCGGCAGGCCUAACACAUGCAAGUCGAACGAGUGGCGGACGGGUGAGUAAUGUCUGGGAAACUGCCUGAUGGCGGGGGAUAACUACUGGAAACGGUAGCUAAUACCGCAUACCAUCAGCUCUGCCCAGAUGGGAUUAGCUAGUUGGUGGGGUAACGGCUCACCAAGGCGACGAUCCCUAGCUGGUUUGAGAGGAUGACCAGCCACACUGGAACUGAGACACGGUCCAGACUCCUACGGGAGGCAGCAGUGGGGAAUAUUGCACGAUGGGCGAAAGCCUGAUGCAGCCAUGCCGCGUGUAUGAUGAAGGCCUUCGGGUUGUAAAGUACUUUCAGCAGAGAGGCGGUACCCGCAGAAGAAGCACCGGCUAACUACGUGCCAGCAGCCGCGGUAAUAC
rnacentral:rRNA from 1 species